GGUGUCAGCCUGAAGGAGCUUGCUGCGUCUGGCAGAGACUCACGAGAGGGCAGGCAGUGACGAUCUCUGCGAGAAACAGCUGUCAGCACGGGCCCUGAGAGCCGAAUGUAGUGCCCUCACCUGCUGUGGGACAUGGCAGCCGGGAGAGAUUUCCUGCGGGAGAUGACGGGCCAAGAUGGAGCACAUGCCUGUUGCGGGCACUCAGUACCCGUUUGUUGACUGAACGAGUAACAUCAGGCCUCUUUCUAUGUUAAUCCUGGGAAGAGGGGGAUUUCACGGCAUCAGGUGAGUCUCAGAACGAGCUAGACUGCUGGCCCAAGGAGGAUGAGAGCCACGUAAAGCUGAGCCACCCAGCCACCACUGCCUGCAACGGACUGGCCCUGCUGAGCCCGCCCCAGAUCAGCCAAACAGCAGCCUACUUGCACCCACUUAAUUGCCUAAAGAAUUCCACAGGGUAGGUACAAUCAUCCCAUUUUGUAAUUGAAGAGCUGAAGUUUAGAGAUGAAAUGUCUUGCCAACCCUAGGACCUGCAUUUUGGACCACAGACCCAGAAAACUACCCGGAGAUCAUGUCCUCAACAGAUGCGAGACAGCCUCCUCCAGACCUUUCUUACUCUGUUGACUGUCCUUACGGAAAGUGGCAGCCGGCACACAGCAGCUGCUUGAUAAAUGUCUCCUGAGUGGACAGAUAUCUUGUCCGGUAGCCUGUAACCCAUGUAGGUGGGGAACGACCAAGCUUCACAUCAGUGUCAGGCACAUCGGAGGUCACAGUAUAAUGGGAGGAAGAUCUCAGGGUGGGCAGUGGCUGUAGAAUCAGUGGUCCCUCACUCUUUCUCCUCUGAAUCUCAUCUUUCCCUUGGUGACUUUGACCCAUCCCUGCACUGUUGGUAACGCAAUGACAAAUAUAGGCCCUGUCACUCUCCCCUCCACCCUCCAGGCCCCAGGCACUCUGGCCAUCUCACGCUUCCUUCAGGAAGCCAAGCUUCUCUUCUCUUCCAGGCCUUUUGCCCGUGCUGUGCCCUCUGCCUGGGAGUCCUUCCCGCCCCCCAGAUCUUCACAGGACCAACUCCUCCUUGUUUUUAGCGUCUCAGCUCCAAUGCUGCCUUCUCUUAGCGCCCCUUCCUGAUCAUGAUGCCCAAAUCACUCACCCUCUCCCAUCACCCCCAUCACUUUAUUGCCUCCAUAACACGAUUACUGCCAGAUGUCAUCUUGUUUAUUUAUCAAUACUUGUUUACCCAUCUUCCCACUGUUCUAUUCCCCAGCAUCUAGGACAGCGCUGGGCUCUCAGCUUUAGGUGCUCAAUACAUAACAGUUGAAAGAAGAAGUGGAUGAAGGCUGCUUUAAGGUGAGGGCAGCAGGAAGUGGGAUGGGGCAGGACAAGGUCUUCUUUUGGGGAGCUCCAUUCCUUAACGGCGUCUUGGCGAUUGAUUGUCAAGGCUGUUCCCCUUUGGGGCACUCAGCAAAGAAGCAAAUGAGCUGGAGUGGACACAGCCCAUAGGAAACGUGGCUGGGACCGGGGAGCCUCGCCUAGUCCUCCCAUACCAGGGAGACCCCUGCAGAAGCUGUUCAUUUUGCAGGAAGCUUCUUUUCGAGGCUUUCCUAAUCCCGGCCGGCCUCCCGGGGCUCCUCCUUGGCUCCUGGGCUGAGCAGGGCCAGGCUGGGCCGGGCAGGCUGAUUUCUACUUUAUUAUGUUUUAAUGACUCCCCCCUCCUCAGAAUG